rnacentral:rRNA from 1 species
AUGAUGGACAAUAUUGAUGAAGUUGCCGAUAAAUGUUUGUCUGCUUUAAAGGCCAUAGAGAGAGAUAAGUUGAGGGUGGCAAGAGCAUACAAUAAGAAGGUCAAGUUGAAGAAUUUUCAAGUUGGCGAUCUCGUGUGGAAGGUGAUUCUACCAAUUGGUUCAAAAGAUAGAAAGUUUGGGAAGUGGUCUCCAUGUUGGGAAGGUCCUUUUAAGAUUACAAGAGUGGUUCCUGGAACUCAUAUUUGGUGGAAUCCGUACAAGGCACAUUAUUACCUCGAUCUCUCAAUGGCAAAUAUUUAA